AGCAGCCGCGGUAAUUCCAGCUCCAAUAGCGUAUAUUAAAGUUGUUGCAGUUAAAAAGCUCGUAGUUGAAUUUCGGGAUUGACGUGACGGUCGUGCCUUAAGGGGUAUGAACUGUUGCAGUCAAUUUCUCACCUUCUGGAGAAAUAUGAUGUCCUUAAUUGGGUGUCAUAUGGAACCAGAACUUUUACCUUGAAAAAAUUAGAGUGUUUAAAGCAAGCUUAUUGCUCGAAUACAUUAGCAUGGAAUAAUAAAAUAGGACGGCAUGAUUCUAUUUUGUUGGUUUCUAGGAUCACCGUAAUGAUUAAUAGGGAUAGUUGGGGGCAUUAGUAUUCAAUUGUCAGAGGUGAAAUUCUUGGAUUUAUUGAAGACUAACUACUGCGAAAGCAUUUGCCAAGGAUGUUUUCAUUAAUCAAGAACGAAAGUUAGGGGAUCGAAGACGAUCAGAUACCGUCGUAGUCUUAACCAUAAACUAUGCCGACUAGGAAUCAGACGAUGUUAAUUUUUUAAUGACUCGUUUGGCACCUUACG
rnacentral:rRNA from 1 species